rfam:Gossypium raimondii Chr07_contig_84, whole genome shotgun sequence.
AAGAGAAGAACCUGUCAGCUUAACCAAGGAUGAUUGCCUGCAAACCAAAAACAGGGCUAGCCUUAGUGAAACUUGUCGUGAGGUGCAGGCAAGUCAUCCUUGGCUACCAAACUAGGUUCUUAUCU